rnacentral:ncRNA from 1 species
UAUGAUAGAGGUUGCGUAUUUCAAGAGUAGGAUGCCGGAUGUGUUCAGGCACAGGAGAAGGCAUCGGAAAGGGGAAUAUGCCGAAAGCUGCAGUACCUGUGAGCUGCAGGCUUGGGCAUGAAGUUAAGAGCUUUAUGACUGUCAUCGGAUUACGAUGGGGAGCUAUCUGA